rnacentral:rRNA from 1 species
GAUGAACGCUGGCGGCGUGCCUAAUACAUGCAAGUCGAGCGAACGGACGAGAAGCUUGCUUCUCUGAUGUUAGCGGCGGACGGGUGAGUAACACGUGGAUAACCUACCUAUAAGACUGGGAUAACUUCGGGAAACCGGAGCUAAUACCGGAUGAUAUUUUGAACCGCAUGGUUCAAAAGUGAAAGACGGUCUUGCUGUCACUUAUAGAUGGGUCCGCGCUGCAUUAGCUGGUUGGUAAGGUAACGGCUUACCAAGGCAACGAUGCAUAGCCGACCUGAGAGGGUGAUCGGCCACACUGGAACUGAGACACGGUCCAGACUCCUACGGGAGGCAGCAGUAGGGAAUCUUCCGCAAUGGGCGAAAGCCUGACGGAGCAACGCCGCGUGAGUGAUGAAGGUCUUCGGAUCGUAAAACUCUGUUAUUAGGGAAGAACAUAUGUGUAAGUAACUGUGCACAUCUUGACGGUACCUAAUCAGAAAGCCACGGCUAACUACGUG